rnacentral:rRNA from 1 species
UACGUAGGGGGCAAGCGUUGUCCGGAAUCAUUGGGCGUAAAGCGCACGUAGGCGGCUUUCUAAGUCGGGGGUGAAAUCCUGGAGCUCAACUCCAGAACUGCCUUCGAUACUGGAGAGCUUGAGUCCGGGAGAGGUGAGUGGAACUGCGAGUGUAGAGGUGAAAUUCGUAGAUAUUCGCAAGAACACCAGUGGCGAAGGCGGCUCACUGGCCCGGUACUGACGCUGAGGUGCGAAAGCGUGGGGAGCAAACAGG